UUUUCUAGAGGUUUACACCACAGGCAUCGCAAAAUAGAUUUUUGUUAUGUUCAUAUAUUUCGUUAUUUUAUUUUUUUCUUUUCAGGAAGUUUAUAGUGCUCAGCGAUGUUACAUGUGUUUCGACCGAUGUGAUCUUGGAUGGGGUGUAGAGACCUGUAGUACUAGGUAUGGGGAAAACACAGAAACAAAAUGUAUUUCCGUUCAAGCUGACUCGGAUAGGUUAGCACGAAAACAAUGUAUGAGUUCCGAACAGGCCGAAAAUUUUUGUGAAAAAUUUAAUGGAUAUGAAUACGUAACGUGCUACUUUUGCAAUGAAGACCUUUGCAACUCAGGUGGAACCGUAAAGCCUAUUUUGUAUAUCUUUGUAGUCACUUUUAUUUUAAUGAUGAUAGCCAACGUAACUUGACUUUAAGAUCAAA